UGGGGAAUAUUGCACAAUGGGCGCAAGCCUGAUGCAGCAAUGCCGCGUGUGUGAAGAAGGCCUGCGGGCUGUAAAGCACUUUUAUUAGGAAAGAAAAACCCGGAGUUAAUACCUCCGGCAUUGACGGUACCUAAAGAAUAAGCACCGGCUAACUCAGUG
rnacentral:rRNA from 1 species